rnacentral:misc_RNA from 1 species
ACCAUCACCAACGGUGACGCACUUGAUAACCUUGAAGCACUCAUGUUUUUUUCUCUCUUGACCUUCUUCCGGGUUCUUGAUUUCAAUUAGAAAAGCCCUAAACUUUCAGUCCUUGACAACAUAGAGAAACUGAGAGAGCACAAGCAGUGAGAGGUGUUUGGAAAACUAGGAGAGAGAGAGAUGUGUAGGAAGCAAGCAAGCGAGAAAUUGGGGAAGCUGGGCCUAUUUGGAAAGGACGAAAGGACAGCUC